rnacentral:pre_miRNA from 1 species
GUGUGUGUGUGUGUGCACGCGCGUUCAGCACCAGGGACAGAUGUGUUUACCUGUGUAUGUGUGUGGUGUUCAGCACCUGGGACAGGUGUGUUUGCCU